rnacentral:rRNA from 1 species
CAAUAGCGUAUAUUAAAGUUGUUGCAGUUAGAACGCUCGUAGUCGGAUUUCGGGGCGUUCCGACCGGUCUGCCGAUGGGUAUGCACUGGCCGGAGUGUCCUUUUUGCCGGAGACCGUGCCUACUCUUAACUGAGCGGGGGCGGGAGACGGCACUUUUACUUUGAAAAAAUCAGAGUGUUUCAAGCAGGCAGCUCGCUCUUGCAUGGAUUAGCAUGGGAUAAUGAAAUAGGACUUUGGUGCUAUUUUGUUGGUUUCGAACACCGAAGUAAUGAUGAGAAGGGACAGUCAGGGGCACUCGUAUUCCGCAGAGAGAGGUGAAAUUCUCAGACCCGCGGAAGACGAACCACUGCGAAAGCAUUUGCCAGGGAUGUUUUCACUGA